rnacentral:rRNA from 1 species
UACGGAAGGUCCGGGCGUUAUCCGGAUUUAUUGGGUUUAAAGGGUGCGCAGGCGGUCUGUUAAGUCAGCGGUCAAAGCCCGGGGCUCAACCCCGGCCCGCCGUUGAAACUGGCAGUCUCGAGUUGGAGAGAAGUAUGCGGAAUGCGCAGUGUAGCGGUGAAAUGCUUAGAUAUUGCGCAGAACUCCGAUUGCGAAGGCAGCAUACCGGCGGCGAUCUGACGCUGAGGCACGAAAGCGUGGGUAUCGAACAGG